GGCUUCCUACGGGACGCAGCAGUGGGGAAUCUUCCGCAAUGGGCGCAAGCCUGACGGAGCAAUGCCGCGUGAACGAAGAAGGUCUUCGGAUUGUAAAGUUCUGUCCUUAUCGAAGAGAGGGUAUAGAGUGAAAAAUGAUAUACUAGGACGGUAGAUGAGGAGGAAGCCCCGGCUAACUACGUGCCAGCAGCCGCGGUAAUACGUAGGGGGCAAGCGUUAUCCGGAAUUAUUGGGCGUAAAGAGUACGUAGGCGGUUCUUUAAGC
rnacentral:rRNA from 1 species